UACAGAGGUCCCAAGCGUUACUGAGAAUCACUGGGUUUAAAGGGUGCGUAGGUGGUCCGUUAAGUCAGUUGUGAAAUCCCCGGGCUCAACCCGGGAACUGCUUCUGAUACUGGCGGACUUGAGGCCAGUAGGGGUCACUAGAACUGACGGUGGAGCGGUGAAAUGCGUAGAUAUCGUCAGGAAUGCCGGUGGUGAAGACGGGUGACUGGGCUGGUUCUGACACUGAGGCACGAAAGCGUGGGGAGCGGACGGG
rnacentral:rRNA from 1 species